AUAUUUUUCAGUUAAGCGACUGAAUAAGAUGCCGAUCCCAUUUAUCAAUUCAUCCUCUCUUUUUCUCUCCUAUGGGAAAUUACAAAACAACAAACAAUGACAUUUGACAGGUACUAUCACCUUUUUCCUCAUUUUCAUUAGGAGCGAGAGAGAGAGAAUUUUGUCGUAUGAAUAUAAAUCCAUACUGAAAGCUUUAUUCUUAUAGGAUUUUGUCAUUGGUUAUUUCACGGAGAAACACUAUCUUUUUCGCUCUUCAUGAAAAUUAUAAAAACAACACUACCAAAUGUCAUAUAUGGUGCUGCGGUUUUUCCAUAGGUUCCUCAUUUACUAGCUUUAUUGUGGAUAAAUGUCUAAAUAAAAAUCGCGCAGGGCUCUAAAGAAACAUGUUAUAAUGGAAGCCUUUUCUUUUCCAUAGACAAGAAUAAAUGAAAUAUUUUGUUUGUUACACGCUAACUUUGAAGUACCCUUUAAAUGAGUUCCAUGUACCCAUUUUCAUAAUCAGUAUGGGAAUGUCAGAAAAAGGGUAUUUUUCAAUGACAUAAAAAAGGGUACUUUAACUCCAUUUCGAAGUUUCCCCUCUCGUGGAAAUAAUGGGUAAAUUGUAUACAUGCUAGUUUGAUGUAAUCAAAUCCGCCAUUGUUCGAUUUUGUUUCGUUGCCACCCGGCAUUAAUGAAAAACAAAUUGUGAAAAGUGGAAUUCACGCGUUAUUUCAAACCAAUCCAGUGACCAAUUUUGUUGUGAUAGUUUUGUUUCAUACGAUGCUUUUCUGACACAUAAUUCGACAGCUGUUUUAAUUCACCCAAGCGGUUCGGGCCGGCUCCAAGGAUGAUGUUUUUGAAGCAGUUAAAGUGAUCCAGAGUGUUCAUUUCCAAGCUCCGUAUGUUUGGGAACUUCCGACAAAAGAAACAAAAUAAUGAUUUCUUAAUUUUGUAGAUAAAAAUAAUAAAAAUGAAUAAUGAAUAUAGUUUUUGGAUGGCCUUUGGA